rnacentral:rRNA from 1 species
UACGUAGGGAGCAAGCGUUGUCCGGAAUCAUUGGGCGUAAAGCGCGCGUAGGUGGCUUCGUAAGUCCGUUGUGAAAGUCAAAGGCUCAACCUUUGAAAGCCGAUGGAUACUGUGGAGCUAGAGUACGGAAGAGGCGAGUGGAAUUCCUGGUGUAGCGGUGGAAUGCGCAGAUAUCAGGAGGAACACCAAUUGCGAAGGCAGCUCGCUGGGACGUUACUGACGCUGAGACGCGAAAGCGUGGGGAGCAAACAGG